rnacentral:piRNA from 1 species
UGUCAACAAAUGACUUCAUAAACCAGAG